rnacentral:lncRNA from 1 species
CUGUCUUCACUCUUUGACAGCUAGCAUGCAGGCUCGGCCUGUGCCACCCCUCAGCUGGCUGCUGUAGUUGUGGUCGGAAUCUUCUCAUCUCAGAAAGGAUUUGUAGAUCUAUUCUGGGGAAACCACAUCAUAAAAUCUCAGCAUAGUGAUAUUCAGGUGUAAGGAUAAGGCGGGAGCUGGGGCCAGCUGAGAGCAACCAGCAUCUGGCGCAUCGCUCCUGAAGAAGGCACACGUGGGUAUAAGGAGGCAGUGUUUACAUCUUACCAUCUUACUGGACUCUUUCUGUGAGGCUCCUCACAUACCUUUAAGAAGAGCAGCAUUUCCCUCGUGUGAAAUGUAGAGGUGAGCUUGGCUUCCUGUUUGCCGGGAGUAUCUAAAGCAGCCGUUCUUACCCUGUGGGUUGAGACCCUCAGAGGGGUCGCAUCUCAGAUGAUAUCCUGCAGUCAGAGAUCCUGCACAUCAGAGACCCUGCAUAUCAGAGAUCCUGCAAUCAGAGAUCCUGCACAUCAGAGACCCUGCACAUCAGAGACCCUGCACAUCAGAGAUCCUGGUUGAUGCUUACCACAAUGCCAAAGGAACUGUAUUAAAGGGUUGCAGCAUUAGGAAGGUUAAAAACCACUGGAAAAAGGCAAAUGUCUGAACAAUAACUGUUUGUCUUUGAAGGCCACAUAGUCCAGUAAAACGUGACGUUGACCCAUUUCAGAUGACUUUGACCCGACUUAUGAAAUAUUAACCUUGACAUUAUUGUGGUGCAGCACAUUCUCCCACUAAGGGCCACUACCCACUCUAAAGAUACUCUGAAUCAAUCCAAGUCGAAGAAAACUUGCCCAGAAAAACACACAUGUGACUUCCAGAUCCUCCUUGAAAGGAGUCAAGGGAAGAUGAAAAAUUUUGCUUCUUUCAACCAUAAAUACUAGUUUCUUUACCCCAC